CCCAAGGGUUGGGCUGUUCGCCCAUUAAAGUGGCACGCGAGCUGGGUUCAGAACGUCGCAAGACAGUUCGGUCUCUAUCUGUUGUGGGCGCAGGAAUAUUGAAGAGAUCUGACUCUAGUACGAGAGGACCGAGUUGGACGAACCUCUAGUGUACCAGUUGUAUCGCCAGAUGCACUGCUGGGUAGCUACGUUCGGAAUGGAUAAGCGCUGAAAGCAUCUAAGCGCGAAGCCAACUCUAAGAUGAGUAUUCCAUUUUCCCUCCGGGGAAUAAAAGGGUCGUGAUAGACGAUCACGUUGAUAGGCUACAGGUCGAAGUGCAGUGAUGUACGCAGCCGAGUAGUACUAAUUACCCAAAUGCUUCCUUUU
rnacentral:rRNA from 1 species